rnacentral:rRNA from 1 species
UACGUAGGGUGCGAGCGUUGUCCGGAAUUACUGGGCGUAAAGCGCGCGUAGGUGGUUUGUUAAGUUGGAUGUGAAAGCCCCGGGCUCAACCUGGGAACUGCAUUCAAAACUGACAAGCUAGAGUAUGGUAGAGGGUGGUGGAAUUUCCUGUGUAGCGGUGAAAUGCGUAGAUAUAGGAAGGAACACCAGUGGCGAAGGCGACCACCUGGACUGAUACUGACACUGAGGUGCGAAAGCGUGGGGAGCAAACAGG